rnacentral:misc_RNA from 1 species
AAGGAGUCUAACAUGCACGCAAGUCUUUGAGUGGAAAACUCGUGGGCGAAAUGAACGUGAUUGGUGGGACCUUUGCACCACCUGCCGCGGGCAGGUCUCUGACUUGCUCGUGCGCCUGAGCGUGCCUGUUGGGACCCGAAAGAUGGUGAACUAUGCCUGCACAGGGUGAAGCCUGAGGAAACUCUGGUGGAGGCUCGUAGCGAUUCUGACGUGCAAAUCGAUCGUAGGAUGUGGGUAUAGGGGCGAAAGACUAAUCGAACCAUCUAGUAGCUGGUUCCCUC